AACAUCUUGUGGUGUUGUUGAGUUGUCUCAUAAACUGAAUAUGAGAAUCCAAAGUAUUGCCAGUCUCAACUGUGUAGUAUUUCAACUCGUGUGCUACUUAGACAAGAAAGAGAAAAGUCAAAAAGUCUUUCACAGUAUCCGGCUCUAGAGUACUUCACCACCUCACUCCUUCCACUGGACCACAUGAUUUCUUGGAAUUAGAAAGUGAAAACAAUGUGUUAUUGUAAAUGGACUUACUGACUCAGUUCUAUUCUACAUUCAUAGAAUUACUCAUGUAAAAAACAUUCCAUUAAAUUCUGCACUACCAGUUUCUACUUAA